UAGGGAAUCUUCCGCAAUGGGCGAAAGCCUGACGGAGCAACGCCGCGUGAGUGAUGAAGGUCUUCGGAUCGUAAAACUCUGUUAUUAGGGAAGAACAAAUGUGUAAGUAACUAUGCACGUCUUGACGGUACCUAAUCAGAAAGCCACGGCUAACUACGUGCCAGCAGCCGCGGUAAUACGUAGGUGGCAAGCGUUAUCCGGAAUUAUUGGGCGUAAAGCGCGCGUAGGCGGUUUUUUAAGUCUGAUGUGAAAGCCCACGGCUCAACCGUGGAGGGUCAGUGGAAACUGGAAAACUUGAGUGCAGAAGAGGAAAGUGGAAUUCCAAGUGGAGCGGUGAAAUGCGCAGAGAUAUGGAGGAACACCAGUGGCGAAGGCGACUUUCUGGUCUGUAACUGACGCUGAUGUGCGAAAGCGUGGGGAGCAAACAGG
rnacentral:rRNA from 1 species